AUUGACCGCUGGCGGCAGGCCUAACACCUGCACGUCGACCGAGUGGCGGACGGGUGAGUAAUGUCUGGGAAACUGCCUGAUGGAGGGGGAUAACUACUGGAAACGGUAGCUAAUACCGCAUACCAUCGGAUGUGCCCAGAUGGGAUUAGCUAGUAGGUGGGGUAAAGGCUCACCUAGGCGACGAUCCCUAGCUGGUGUGAGAGGAUGACGAGGCACACUGGAACUGAGUGAGGGUCCAGACUCGUACGGGAGGCAGCAGUGGGAAAUAUUGCACAAGGGGCGGAGGCCGAAUGCAGCCAUGCCGGGUGUAUGAAGAGGGCCUUCGGGUUGUAAAGUACUUUCAGCGGGGAGGCGUUACCCGCAGAAGAAGCACGGGCAAACACCGUGCCAGCAGCCGCGGAAAAC
rnacentral:rRNA from 1 species